AACGAACGCUGGCGGCGUGGAUAAGACAUGCAAGUCGAGCGAGAAGACGUAGCAAUACGUUUGUAAAGCGGCGAACGGGUGAGGAAUACAUGGGUAACCUACCCUCGAGUGGGGAAUAACUAGCCGAAAGGUUAGCUAAUACCGCGUACGCUCCUUGGACUUCGGUUCAGGGAGGAAAGCGAUACCGUGGGUAUCGCGCUCUUGGUUGGGCUCAUGUCCUAUCAGCUUGUUGGUGAGGAACGGCUCACCAAGGCUUCGACGGGUAGCUGGUCUGAGAGGACGAUCAGCCACACUGGCACUGCGACACGGGCCAGACUCCUACGGGAGGCAGCAGUAAGGAAUAUUGCGCAAUGGGCGAAAGCCUGACGCAGCGACGCCGCGUGGGGGA
rnacentral:rRNA from 1 species